GCCCGUGGCUUGAACUCCUGAACCACGAGAUCACGACCUGAGCCUAAAUCAUGAGUCGGACACUUAACCCACGGAGCCACCCAGGCACCUGUCCUCUACACUCUUCUCAAUCAGAGCCCUCGUAUCUGCGUAAGAGUCUCAGAGCUGAGAGGUCAGAUCUUCCCACCUUCUUGUCUCUUACAAAAGGGGAAGAGAAUGGAGGUCCAGAGGAAUGAAAAGGCUCGCCCAAGAUCCUGCCAUUUCCCUGUGUUAAAACGCAGACAAACCCCUCUCUGCUCUGAACUUUGAAGCCUCCCGCCUUCUAAAGGACUCUGCUCCUUUUCAUCUGCCCUCUCUCCAGCACCAUCAGCCUCUCCCACUCUCCCGCCCCUCUGCACGCCUCAGCCCACGGACUUCUCGGGAGAGCGGUCUGCAUGCCUCCACUAUCAGUCCGCCCCUCACAUCCACUCCUCGAGCGGUGAAGUUUGGCACUUUUUGACACCACGUCACCGACCCCACUAGUAUAGGUCACCACCGACUCUGCACUGCCAGAUCCGACGGAUGCUUGCCACCCCCAGAGGCGUUUGGCAGAGCUGAUCCACUCCCUCUGUCUUAAAUGCUCUUGGCUCUUGACUGGCAUGACUACACCCUCCUCUGGUUUUCUCCUAACUGCCCAACCCCUUCUCCAUCUCCUUUGUCGGCAACCUGGAAAUGUGGGGCACCAAGGCCCCUGUCUUCCUCUCUACACCUCUCCCUAAGCGAACCCAUCCACGUCCGUGGCUCUGAACGCCAACCAAUGCUCUCGGCUCCCUGAUACACGAGCCCCUGGCUUGCAUCCGCAACCAUAUACCCAGCACAGCACCUAGCCUAUGUUGGACGCUCAACCAAUAUUUGUAGGAUCGAUGAAUAAAUCAAUUAGCCAAGGAAUCGCACAAGUUUCUCCAGCUUAAAUGUCUGAAAGUCUUAACAUCCCCCACCCCCCA